UGAACUCAUGAUGCGACGCGUUCGGUUUCUGGGGAAAACCGGAGAUCCUUGAGCGCAAAUUGCACACUUAUCAUAUGUGCAAAUACGAAUAGAUGCCGGGGAUAAACAGAGGUAACUACAAACGGGUCAAACAUCAUCUUAAAAAACGACAAUUGUAAAAAUUGCAAAGAUUGUGGUCGUCGCACAACAGCUGCUGACGUGAGCUCAACCGAUAAACAACAAACGAUAAAAUUAACGUUACACUGUGAACCGUGUGCAGUGUACUGGACAUAUUAUCCAUUUAUUGGAGGGUGUUUAGCAAUAUGGCGUCGUCAAAAGUGAUCAGCUGAUCAUCGAUUCAGCUUAUUACACCGAUAUAGAGGCACUGAAGGAUUCUUACUGGCUUUCGGACUGUCGUUUUGAUACAUUGAGUCAAUUGUAAGUGAAAAAUUGGAUCCACAAUUCGGUUUAUCUGCAUGUGACGUUUUUCUUUGUUCACGGUUUAGUUAUUUAGUUCGUAUAUAACUUAUCCAACUAUGAGUAAGCGAAGGAUGGAAUAGUCACGAAUAUAAUAAUACGUUGACGAAGAACAGAAAAGGCUAUAAAGUGGGAAGUUUCGAAAAUUUUGGAACAAAAUUGGUAUCUGGUAUAGGAAUUUGUUCAGAUGUCUUAAUUUUUUGCGACAAAACUGAAGAAAGUAACUAAAUGAAAUCUGCACUAAGGUACAACGCAGUCGAGUACCCGGAAACAUGCCCUCAUGGUUGAAAAGGUGCUGAUUUCAGCAUUAAAAAUGCUUGUACAAUGGAAAAACGGGUUCGGCUGGAAUCCCUAGUGGGAGGUUCAGGAAGAGAUGUUACACGGAAACGACAACGCUAUGAUUGGUCGAGCGCCUGCCCGACCAGUUCGCCAAUGAUUCUGAUCGGUGCACCGGCGUAUACUGGCUUAUCAACGCUGGAUCGACUUAUUAUAAGAUAAAUGCGAGCAUCAGUAUAUUCGACUGUUAGUAUUCCUGCUAAAUGCCGUGAAGUAAGAUCGAAUUUUGCAAGAAUAACAAGUUCUGAUAAGCAUUUUUUGAAAUGGUUGUUGUCACUGCUUUCGUCGGCAUUGGUAUAAAUUAGUGUGUUUUAGUUAGUAUGAUCGUUGUUCAUCUAUGUAAGAUUGCAAGAUUUUUUGUUAUAUUUAAAAUGAAUAUGUGAUUUGUCUUUAUGUCUGUUCUGUUACUAGUGUAGAAUAUGAAUAUGUCUCUAUCCUAGUUACUGAUAAAUGCCAUAAAAUCUACUAUUAUGUUUAUGCUAUGACUUUGUAACUACAUAUUCGAUGCCUAUAAUUGUAAGAAGUGACACCUUGUGUAAUAUAUGUGAAUUAUUUGUGGUAAAAUGUGAAGCUCACUUCUUUGGAUUCUUAAGAGAAGUUUUGAGGAUUUUCUAUUCAGCUGAAAGAAGACGUUGACUGAGAAAUAUGAAGACAGUUGCCCUAAUGGGCUUUAGCGUGUCAACCGAAAUUCGAUGUGCGCUUGCGCUCCCUGAGAUGUUCCAACGGUAGAGUUGAGAACUUAUUGCAGAACAUGAGGGAGUUACCGAUUUUGACAUGAUGCUGGCUGCAUUCACCUUCCGAGUACCAAAGUCUUCGCAAUGGUGAGCCCAAGCCGGUACCUUGCCUCGGAGUACUUACAGACUUGUCGGCGAUGCAAGAAAUUGAUAAUAAGAAUAAAUUUCUUCCAAAAUUCGUAGAAAAACAGUGAUUUAAUUAUAGUAUAGGACCCCGAGAAAAGAAUGUAUACAUAGAUCAUACAUAAUAACAGAUCAGAUGUGAUGAUAAUAAACAGACCGAAACGUAUAUAUGUA
rnacentral:lncRNA from 1 species